AUUCUUAAAUCUUCAGAAUCAUGGCUUUCGCCAACUAUCAUCCAUGCACAAAACUCAUGUUUUAUGCUCUCGUUUUUUAUCUGUCAAUAUCGUUAUCAGCCUCUACAGAUGCUACAAUGAAAAAACCCAUCGCAAGAAGUUUGUUACCUCUUCAAAAGAAAACUAUUGUGAUAAGAAAUUCUGCAAUUAACAAAGAAGUUAUGAAUAUACAUUGCAGCUCUACAGAAAGUGAUUUGGGGUUAAAGCAUAUCCCUUAUUUUCAGGAUUAUACUUUCCAUUUUAGGGUAAAUUGGAAAGGCACCACAAAAUUCCGUUGCCAUGUUACAUGGCGUGGAGGUGGAGAUCAUUGGUUUACUGUAUUCGAACGUGGGAGAGACAAAUGUAGUGAAUGUGUUUGGCAGGUUUACGGUGAAGGUGGAUAUGGUGAUAAACCUCUGAUGUAUUAUAAUCGCGGGGACGAAGGCUAUCACCUUUUUGAUUGGGACUAACCUAAUUGGGACACAUAAUUUCAAAACCAGAAAACUACUCUAUAAUAGAUCAACUAAAUAAUAUAAUUUGACUAAGAUUUGUAACUUAGUAUUAUAUGUUAUUAUUGUUGUUGUAUCAUCUUGUAAAUUUAAAUACGAUGUAAUUUGGUAUUUAUGAGGUAUUUCUUGAUUAUAAUCAUACCUCAUAAAUGCCAAAUACUAAAGUGCUAUAAACGUUACUCACUAUAUUCAAAUCUAAAUAUAACAUAAAUAUUUGUAAGACUUUGAAAUAAAUUAUUUGAUUUUUUUUUCUUGUGUUCUAUUUUUGAAAUAAAAUAUGUGCUAGUGAUAUCCUAUGAUAUUUUUCUUAAUGUAAAGAAGUAGAGUAUUUUUGUCAAAGUGAUAUUCUUAUCAUAUUAAAAAUAGAUUCUCUCUCUGUUUCUUUUUUUAUGAUGUUUUAAAUGAUAUAUUUGUUUCAAUUUAUAUGAUAUUUUGAAACUUUUUUUGUCUAAAACUAAUAAAGUAAUUAAUUAAAAUAAUAAGAGUUAAUGUGUGGUUUUGUCUUAUUUGUUCAAAAUAGCAAAAUGAUUAAUUAUUUUAUUUACUUUUUUGUUGUAAUCAAGUACUUUUAAUAAAAAUAAACUUUUUCUUAGUUUAUGUGUUUAUGCUAAAAUAUCAUACAAAAAUAAAUAUAGGGAGUAUAUUCUUUUGGAAGAAUUUUAUAAAUAAAUGGCAACAAUUUACUAUAAAUGUUUUCCUAUCUUCUAAAUUUAAAUACGAUGUAAAAUAUGAGUUGUUGAAAGAGAAAAAAAUACUUAUUUCUUAUCUAGUUCCUAGUAAACAGAUUCUAUAUAAAAAUAUCAAGUAAUUCCCCAAUGUCUCAGUCUGUCUCUUGUUGCUAAUCUCUCUCGCAGUAGGAGCCAAGUGAUAAGGGGUACUUGGGAGCUUUUUCUUUGAACCAAACCACCGAAAACCAAGGAACUGGUGGUGGAGGAGGAGGGUUAAGGUUUAGCCAUGUUUUUACGGAAGAGAAGCCUGUGACAGAGUCAGUUGGCGUAAGCUUCCACUCAUAAUAAUCAUGUUCAUCAGAGUUAACAUUUAGAGGUUGAAAAGGGAGACAAUUCCGAAGCAGACAUAGCAGCGGGUGUCUACUAUUCGAAAUCCUCCAGGCACCAUCUCAGAAAUCAAGAGUUGCCUUGUUACCUUUUCAGAAAAAAAAACUAUUGCAAUAUCGUCCAAUAAAGGAUUGUAAAACAGAAAACCAAGUUUGUAUUGAUAAUUAAAAAGUUGACACUCAUGUAUUUUAUAGUGAAUACAUAGAUUUAUCUAUUUUACAUCGUAAUUAACUUUUGACUAUAUAUCAUUCUUUUUUCCAUUAAAAUGUAUGGUAAUUGUUUAUUUUCUAAAGUUAAUGUAUGAAAAGUGUCAAGGAAAUUUUUGAAAAAAAAAAAAAAGAGAGUAAUGUAUGGUAAUUGUUUCAGGGAAAACUUUGUAACAUAUGUAUAAUGUCACUUUAUGUGUGUGUGGCAAUUCGUUAAACUUCUACGCAUUUUUAACAAACUCAACAUGAUGAGGUUUAAACUCAAAACUUAGAGACAACUAGUAAAAUAGCUCAUAUAUAGGCUACUCUUAUACUUAUCAAGUUCAUUGAUAAGCAGAUACGGAACAGGAUCAUCUCAUUGCAAGGACGAGGAGGAAGAACUAUCUCCCAAGCUUUAGUAGUUUGGUUUGAAGCUAGAGAAUAGUCUUUUGGCUCUUUUUUGGUUUUAAAAAUUACACAAACUACAUCUUAGUUGCUUUAGUUUGUACAAAAGCCUUUUUUUUAUCUGAAUAAAUUUAACAUUCAUUAAAAAAAAAUGCAAUACAUGAUGUUUGAAUUGAUGAACCCUAGCUAUAGUAUGUAUUUAGAUAGUGUAAUAAAACCAUCGCUAGCUUAAUUUUUUGUUCAUACAAAAGUUUCUUGUACAUCAAAAUUUUGAUUUACUAAAACAAAUAUCUUCAUUUAAAAUUUAUAUACUUUUCAAAUACAUCUAAGUUUAAUUUAGACAUCACAAUUUUUUUUUAGAGAAAAAUCUCUUGCAAGUCCACUAAGUCACUGUAUAUAUUAUCUGCUAAUUAAUCAAAUAUUUGUAAGCGAUUCAGAAUCUCAGAUGAAUGUAUGGAUUUGAUGCGGACUGAACAUAAUGUGCAUUGUGCAAGUUGGAUUGUGCGUUAAAAUGGAAAAGAAAAUGACUAACUAUUUAUAUUUAUCUUGCUCUUUAAAGAGUUGAACAAUAUUUAACUGAACUAAAAUUGAUUAGAUUAGUCAAGAUUUUGUCUAUAAAAGAAAGAAAGUGCUUGUUUUGGCGGUGAUAUUCUGAUCGCUUAUAAAAAGAAAGGUAAUAAUCUUUUAGAAAAUACUAUGAAUAGCUAAAAUAGUUUACUAUAAAUAUUUGCAUAUAUCUCUUAUUGCUAAUUUUAAAAACUAUAAAUAUCUAUAUGUUGUUUUCAUCAAAUCUCAUUCUUAAAUAUUCAGAAUCAUGGCUUUCGCCAACUAUCAUCCAUGCACAAAACUCAUGUUUUAUGCUAUUGUUUUUUAUCUGUCAAUAUCAUUAUCAGCCUCUACAGAUGCUACAAUGAAGAAACCCAUCGCAAGAAGUUUGUUACCUCUUCAAAAGAAAACUAUUGUGAUAAGAAAUUCUGCAAUUAACAAAGAAGUUAUGAAUAUACAUUGCAGCUCUACGGAAAGUGAUUUGGGGUUAAAGCAUAUCCCUUAUUUUCAGGAUUAUAUUUUCCAUUUUAGGGUAAACUGGAAAGGCACUACAAAAUUUCGUUGCCAUGUUACAUGGCGUGGAGGUGGAGAUCAUUGGUUUACUGUAUUCAAACGUGGGAGAGACAAAUGUAGUGAAUGUGUUUGGCAGGUCUACGGUGAUGGUGGAUAUGGUGAUAAACCUCUGAUGUAUUAUAAUCGCGGGGACGAAGGCUAUCACCUUUUUGAUUGGGACUAACCUAAUUGGGACACAUAAUUUCAAAACCAGAAAACUACUUUGUAAUAGAUCAACUAACAAUAAUAUAAUUUGACUAAGAUUUGUAACUUAGUAUUUUAUGUUAUUAUUGUUGUUGUAUCAUCUGAAGAAUUUUAAUCUGAUGUAAAAAUUGUUUGAAUUAUUGAAAGAAAAAAAACUGGUUUCCUAUCUAUAUCCAAAAAAGAACAGUCUCAAUCCGAAAAUCAG
rnacentral:lncRNA from 1 species